rnacentral:rRNA from 1 species
AGGUCUUAGCUAGUCUGAAAAGAUGUGUACUAAGGCCGACGCCUGCCCAGUGCUGGUACGUGAACCCCGGGUUCAACCGGGCGAAGCGCCAGUAAACGGCGGGGGUAACUAUAACCCUCUUAAGGUAGCGAAAUUCCUUGUCGGGUAAGUUCCGACCUGCAUGAAUGGCGUAACGAGACCUCCACUGUCCCCGACUAGAAUCCGGUGAACCUACCAUUCCGGUGCAAAGGCCGGAGACUUCCAGUGGGAAGCGAAGACCCCGUGGAGCUUUACUGCAGCCUGUCGUUGGGGCAUGAUUGUGGGUGUACAGUGUAGGUGGGAGCCAUCGAAACCUUCUCGCUAGGGAAGGUGGAGGCGUCCAUGGGACACCACCCUCCUAUGAUCAUGUCCCUUACCCAAGUAUGGGGACACCGGUAGGUGGGCAGUUUGGCUGGGGCGGUACCCUCCUAAAAAUGCAUCAGGAGGGCCCAAAGGUUGGCUCAAGCGGGUCAGGACUCCGCUGUUGAGUGUAAGGGCAAAAGCCAGCCUGACUUAGUUGUCCACAAUACGCAACUAAGAGACGAAAGUCGGGCCUAACGAACCCCUGUGCCUCACCGAUGGAGGCCAGGGAUGACAGAAAAGCUACCCCGGGGAUAACAGAGUUGUCGCGGGCAAGAGCCCAUAUCGACCCCGCGGCUUGCUACCUCGAUGUCGGUUUUUCCCAUCCUGGAUCUGCAGCAGGAUCCAAGGGUGGGGCUGUUCGCCCAUUAAAGGGGAUCAUGAGCUGGGUUUAGACCGUCGUGAGACAGGUUGGUUGCUAUCUGCUGGAAGUGUUGGCUGUCUGAGGGAAAGGUGGUUCUAGUACGAGAGGAACGAGCCGCCGGUGCCUCUAGUUUAUCGGUUGUUCGACAGGGCAUUGCCGAGCCGCCACGCACCAAGGGAUAAGAGCUGAAAGCAUCUAAGCUCGAAGUCCAUCCUGAAAACAGACAGCCGUCCUUCUAGGAGGCGAGGGGUCCCAUAGAAGAUGGGUUUGAUAGGCUAGGAAUGUAAGCAUCAAGGUUUUCCGAGGUGUUUAGUUCGCUAGUACUAACCCCCCAAGAGAUAUUGG